UACUUUCUCUAGCUCCUCCCAUUGG
rnacentral:misc_RNA from 1 species